CUUUAUGGCGGCUGUGUGCGGGAGACCUUCGGGUCUGCCGAGGUUUUGGUGUGGUCUACUCGGUCUUGCACCCCGCACAUAGCUGCCACCUUA
rnacentral:antisense_RNA from 1 species